rnacentral:rRNA from 1 species
AUUGAACGCUGGCGGUAGGCCUAACACAUGCAAGUCGAACGGCAGCACAGUAAUAGCUUGCUCUUACGGGUGGCGAGUGGCGGACGGGUGAGGAAUACAUCGGAAUCUACUUUUUCGUGGGGGAUAACGUAGGGAAACUUACGCUAAUACCGCAUACGACCUACGGGUGAAAGCAUGGGAUCUUCGGACCUUGCGCGAUUGAAUGAGCCGAUGUCGGAUUAGCUAGUUGGCGGGGUAAAGGCCCACCAAGGCGACGAUCCGUAGCUGGUCUGAGAGGAUGAUCAGCCACACUGGAACUGAGACACGGUCCAGACUCCUACGGGAGGCAGCAGUGGGGAAUAUUGGACAAUGGGCGCAAGCCUGAUCCAGCCAUACCGCGUGGGUGAAGAAGGCCUUCGGGUUGUAAAGCCCUUUUGUUGGGAAAGAAAAGCAGCAGGUUAAUACCCCGCUGUUCUGACGGUACCCAAAGAAUAAGCACCGGCUAACUUCGUG